GCAUUUAGGAGCUGAGGGUAUAGCUCAGUGAAAGAGUGUGUGCUCAGCAUGUGGGAGGCCCUGGGUUCCAUUGCCAUCAAAAAUAAAAAAGAUGGGCUGGGGAUGUGGCUCAAGCGGUAGCGCUCUCGCCUGGCAUGUGUGGGGCACUGGGUUUGAUCCUCAGCACCACAUAAAAAUAAAAUGAAGAUGUUGUGUCACUGAAAACUAAAAACUAAAUAUUAAAAAAAAUUUCUCUUAAAAAAAAUAAAAUAAAAAAGGUGGUGGUGGAAGAAAUUAGAAAUAUUUAGCAUAGCAACAUAUUACGUUUUCAGAUAUUUUGUGUUUUUCAUAAUUUCAUGAAAGGUUAAUCUGCUGCUGCAUCCUAUGGGGAAGUGGUAUGUGUGAGACUUAAGACCGGAGCUCUAGAAGGCAGGAGCUCACAGCUUACAUAAAAAUCUUUUCAGUGGGUUGGGCUAUAGCUCAGUUGACUGAGUGCUUGACUUGCAUGUACAAGGCCCCUGGGUUCAAUCCCCAGCACCAAAAACAAAAAAUGUUUAAUGAGAGGGCUUCUGAAAAGGCUCUCAACAGCUCUUCUCUGAAUCCUACUAUUAGAGGCUCUCCUCACUUCAUUGUCACCUGUGUGUUCCCAAGCUCCCCCAGACUUUUCCUUAGAGCCAGAGCCAUGCAGAACCCAGCAAGCUGGCCUGGGAUGGGUAUGCAUCCCUUCUACCUGGGACAGUCCACAAGUGCAGAUUUUCUUUGAAGACUCAUUCUUUAUCUGAAUUUUACCUUUUUGUGAUAUUCCAGCUUGCUUUCAUGUAAAAAAUUAUUCUUUUAAAGCUUAUUGCUGAAUAAGAUUGAUGUUCUGAAAAUGUCACUUGUUUUUCUUGGAGCUUUGUGUAUUCUCUAUCACAGUCUAUAAUCCCAGGGUUAUAAUGGCCCCUGUUUGAGAAAUCUAACUAUGUAUUUCAGGCCAGCUGUAUUUUAAACAGUCUUUGUAGACUGGUCUGGGAACCUAAUCAGCAUUUAUAACAUUUUGAUGAAAAAAUGCAUUUACAUUCUAAAUAAAUAAUUUACCUGCAAGCUUGGCAAAACCGUUUCCCAGUUUACAUUGUAAG
rnacentral:lncRNA from 1 species